rnacentral:rRNA from 1 species
GACGAACGCUGGCGGCGUGCCUAAUACAUGCAAGUAGAACGCUGAAGGAGGAGCUUGCUUCUCCGGAUGAGUUGCGAACGGGUGAGUAACGCGUAGGUAACCUGCCUGGUAGCGGGGGAUAACUAUUGGAAACGAUAGCUAAUACCGCAUAACAGUAGAUGUUGCAUGACAUUUGCUUAAAAGGUGCAAUUUAUCACUACCAGAUGGACCUGCGUUGUAUUAGCUAGUUGGUGAGGUAACGGCCCACCAAGGCGACGAUACAUAGCCGACCUGAGAGGGUGGUCGGCCACCCUGGGACUGGGACCCGGCCCAGACUCCUACGGGAGGCCGCAGUAGGGAAUCUUCGGCAAUGGACGGAAGUCUGACCGAGCAACGCCGCGUGAGUGAAGAAGGUUUUCGGAUCGUAAAGCUCUGUUGUAAGAGAAGAACGAGUGUGAGAGUGGAAAGUUCACACUGUGACGGUAUCUUACCAGAAAGGGACGGCUAACUACGUG